rnacentral:rRNA from 1 species
AUUGAACGCUGGCGGCAGGCUUAACACAUGCAAGUCGAGCGGGGGAGGUUGCUUCGGUAACUGACCCAGCGGCGGACGGGUGAGUAAUGCUUAGGAAUAUGCCUAUUAGUGUGGGACAACAUUCCGAAAGGAAUGCUAAUACCGCAUACGCCCUACGGGGGAAAGCAGGGGAUCUUCGGAACUUGCUCUAAUAGAUGAGCCUAAGUCGGAUUAGCUAGUUGGUGGGGUAAAGGCCUACCAAGGCGACGAUCUGUAGCGGGUCUGAGAGGAUGAUCCGCCACACUGGGACUGAGACACGGCCCAGACUCCUACGGGAGGCAGCAGUGGGGAAUAUUGGACAAUGGGCGGAAGCCUGAUCCAGCCAUGCCGCGUGUGUGAAGAAGGCCUUUUGGUUGUAAAGCACUUUAAGCGAGGAGGAGGCUCUUAAGGUUAAUACCCUUGAUGAGUGGACGUUACUCGCAGAAUAAGCACCGGCUAACUCUGUGCCAGCCGCCGCGGUAA